UACGUAGGGGGCUAGCGUUGUUCGGAAUUACUGGGCGUAAAGGGCUCGUAGGCGGCCGGCUAAGUCAGACGUGAAAUCCCUCGGCUUAACCGGGGAACUGCGUCUGAUACUGGAUGGCUAGAGGUUGGGAGAGGGAUGCGGAAUUCCAGGUGUAGCGGAUGAAAUGCGUAGAUAUCUGGAGGAACACCGGUGGCGAAGGCGGCAUCCUGGACCAAUUCUGACGCUGAUGAGCGAAAGCCAGGGGAGCAAAACGGGG
rnacentral:rRNA from 1 species